UACAAGGUAGUUUGUGACAUCACAAGCACCAGCGAUUUCAAACCGCGGGUUUGAGACUGUCUUUAGAUCACUCAGUUUUACAUAUAAAGACUUUGCACAUGGUUUGUCUUAAAGCAUAUUAAAAAUAAGACAUAGACAUAUAAACAACAUUAAAAACUUGAUUGUGAUUAUUAUUUAAUGGACCUGAGGUGAACUAACAAAGAACAAUUGCAUUUUUUAUUAACUAAGAUGAAUAAAUACUGUAAUAAAUGAAUUGCUCAUUGUUAUUUAAUUUUAGUUAAUGCAUUAACUAAUGGGACUUUAUUGCAAAGUGUUACUAGUGAUUGUGAGAUAAAGUUUAAAAUAAGAAAUAAUGUAAGAUAUGAAGUUCCAAAUGAAGAUAUAAGAUCAUACUCUGUAAUAUAAAGUCACAAUUAUGAGAAACAAAGUCACAGUUGUGAGAAAUUAAGCCAUACAUAUAUACAGUAGUCACAAUUGGUUGUGAUUUUAUAUGUUGCAUUAUAAAAUCAUAUUGCAAGAAGUCACAUUUAGUUUAAAAGAUCAUUAAGAUUAAAAAGAAACAGAGAACCAGUUAGAGCGAACCAUUCAGCUAACUUUAUUACACCUAUAUGUUCUGUGAAAUAUCAGUGUUUUUUCAUUGUUUAAUGUAAUUCUGUGAUUUUCUCUCAUGUGUCUCAGUUGCAGCAGUAUGGGGGAAACCCCCCUCUUCUGUUACCACACCCCACCAGCUCAAUUUCCCCGUUGUUCUUUAUGAGAUGAUCAGCAUUUAAAAUCGUAAUGACAGACAGAUGCCGGAGUGGUAGCGCUUUCCAACACCCUUGCACAGUUCAGCCGCUCCCCCUCCCUCUAUUUUGCUUCUAAUGAAGCUGGUUUUCGCACAAGAGUAAUAGGAUUACCACACACUGCUCUGCCAAGGACAGAGACUGGAGGGGGAGACAGGAGGACAGGUUAAAGAGGGGGGUGAAGAGAGAGAGAGAGAGAGAGAGGAGCGGGAAAUCGGAGGCAAAUGAAGAGUACAAGCUGAAGAACAGAAUGUGAUAUCGGUGCACACCCACCCUGAAGCCCCUCAGAGUAACAGGCCUGUGAUAUUUGAGGAGCGAGAGAGAGGAUCAAACUCUUCCUAUUGGCACAGUUCACUGUUUCCACUAUAACUCUUCCAUUCCUUCAUUCCCGCGUAAUGGAUCUGUAUCCGGUACAGCUGUCAUUUCAGAGGCGGGGAGCUAAUCAGAAGUCCGAUUUAGCAGCAUGACAGGCCUAAACCGGGGUCACGACAGGGCUGCUACUCACUGCUGCUGAUAGUAUGCCAGCUGCUGAACUUCAUGUAACUCAAGCUGUAUCAAAUCACUACACGACAUACCACACAUAACAAAAAUGGACUUCUGUUUUACACAUACCUCAGAUUCACAUCUGAAACUCUUGUUGUAAGCUGUUUUUUAGGAUAUUAAAGGUGCUAAAGAGGAUCUUUUUGUCGACUGAGAAUCCAAAGACUGUUACUGAGUUUUUGAAAUGAGCACAACCCCCCU